rnacentral:rRNA from 1 species
AUGAGCAAAGCACUCUGCCCCAAGUACCAAGGCCUAUCCACGUACGAGAAAGAGUAUUUGGCAAUGAUCGCUGCAGUAGAUCAAUGGCGACCGUACUUGCACUCUGCAGAGUUCAUCAUCAAAACAGACCAACGCAACUUAGUCUAUUUGCAGGAGCAGAGACUCACGACUCCGUGGCAACAACGAGCUUUCACCAAGUUAUUGGGCUUGCAAUACAAGAUUGUGUAUAAGAAGGGCGUGGAAAAUGGAGCUGCAGAUGCACUAUCUCGCCUGCACCACUCAUAG